rnacentral:rRNA from 1 species
GAUGAACGCUGGCGGCGUGCCUAAUACAUGCAAGUCGAGCGAACAGACGAGGAUCUUGCUCCUCUGACGUUAGCGGCGGACGGGUGAGUAACACGUGGAUAACCUACCUAUAAGACUGGGAUAACUUCGGGAAACCGGAGCUAAUACCGGAUAAUAUAUUGAACCGCAUGGUUCAAUAGUGAAAGACGGUUUUGCUGUCACUUAUAGAUGGAUCCGCGCCGCAUUAGCUAGUUGGUAUGGUAACGGCUUACCAAGGCAACGAUGCGUAGCCGACCUGAGAGGGGGUACGGCGACACUGGGGCUGAGACACGGUCCAGACUCCGACGGGAGGCAGCAGUAGGGAAUCUACGGCGAUGGGCGAAAGCCUGACGGAGGAGCGCCGCGUGGGUGAUGAAGGUCUUCGGAUCGUAAAACUCUGUUAUUAGGGAAGAACGAAUGUGUAAGUAACGAUGCACGUCUUGACGGUACCUGAUCAGAAAGCCACGGCUAACUACGUG